CCUUCUUAGGCUGGUUAGAUGGUUAGGAGUUGAAGAGUGGACCCCUGUCCACAUGGUUGAAGUCAUUUAGGUGUCAGAGAGAGAAGACCAUCUACAACUGAGAGGCUGCAUUCAGGAAAACUUCAUCUCUCACGAUGUGAAGAGCAAGAUGAAAAAAGACAAUGUCUGUGAAGAUCUCCAUGGCUGAUGAAUGAAUGCCAAUGUGAGAGAGAAGCAGAUCUGUUUCCACAAUGUACUGGAUGGAGGCAAAUCCUGAGCCCAGACAGUCAACUAUGUGAAUAUGGUGGAGCGAUCUGCUCUGUGAACAUAGGGAUCUUGUCAGUCUUAUCCAUCCCCAUAUCAUCAACAGCUCUCACGAUACUGAAAAGGGGCCAAAUACUGGUGUUUUGACAUUCCAUCCCAUUAAAAGGAAGAAGAAGGAAAAAGAACAAAGAGAAAACUCCAAUCUGCCUGCAUGGAGUGUGCUUCCUCUUGUUCAGAUGCCGUGUUUACGUUGAGAUGCCCACAGCUGGGAUGUGGUCCCAGCCUACAGACACAAUCCUGGCUUCUUGCAUCAGCCCCCCCCCCCACGGUCCCCAGCCUCCAGGGACAUUACUAAGGAAGCCUGCUCCCAAACAAGGACCCGCAGGUGGAUUCAUGGAGCGCAGGACUAGGAUUCAAGUGCAAGUGACUUCUUUGGAGAUGAUCCCGGCGCACACCAGGAGGGGAAUGAGGAAUUGAGACGAGGCAGAAGGACGAUCAAUGAACGAUGUGUCAUCAAGCCAGCGGGCAGUUGGGGAACUCCAGAAGCCACUGCAGAACAAGCACCACGGAGUUAUGCCACCGAGGAAAAGGAAGCAGAUUCAGAAGGUCGGUGGUGAUGCUGCAUUGGGUCACGUGCCCAGGUCAUUCGCCUCACUGCAUCUUGUCACCUAGGCAUUUCAUUGUCUCACAUCACGGCAAGACACAGAAAGGUGAGUGCAGUGAAAGAGGAUAUUUUGAGAUAGAGAGAGAGAGAGAGAGACCACAUUCCCAUCACUUUUAUGACGGUAAAUUGUUAGAAUUAUCCUACCUUAUAAUUAGCUAUUGUUG